GAAUCAACGCGGGCGGCGUGCCUACACAUGCAAGUCGAACGAGAAAGUGGGAGCAAUCCUGCGAGUACAGUGGCAGACGGGUGAGUAACACGUGAACAACCUACCCUCGAGUGGGGAAUAACCCCGCGAAAGCGGGGCUAAUACCGCAUAACAUCCUUGGGUCGCAUGAUUUGAGGAUCAAAAGCGCAAGUUGCUUGAGGAGGGGUUCGCGCCUGAUUAGCUAGUUGGUGAGGUAACGGCCCACCAAGGCGACGAUCAGUAGCCGGCCUGAGAGGGCGAACGGCCACACUGGAACUGAGACACGGUCCAGACUCCUACGGGAGGCAGCAGUGGGGAAUUUUGCGCAAUGGGCGAAAGCCUGACGCAGCAACGCCGCGUGGAGGAUGAAGGUCUUCGGAUCGUAAACUCCUGUCAGUGGGGAAGAAGGUCGGGUAACCGGCUUGACUGUACCCGCUGAGGAAGCCACGGCUAACUCCGUGCCAGCAGCCGCGGUAAUACGGAGGUGGCAAGCGUUGUUCGGAAUUACUGGGCGUAAAGGGCGCGUAGGCGGCUUGGCAAGUCAGAUGUGAAAGCCCCGAGCUUAACUUGGGAAUUGCAUCUGAAACUGCUUUGCUUGAGUCCUGGAGGGGGUAGUGGAAUUCCCAGUGUAGCGGUGAAAUGCGUAGAUAUUGGGAGGAACACCGGCGGCGAAGGCGGCUACCUGGACAGUGACUGACGCUGAGGCGCGAAAGCUAGGGGAGCGAACGGGAUUAGAUACCCCGGUAGUCCUAGCUGUAAACGAUGGGCACUUGGUGUUGGGGGUAUUGAGUCCCCCAGUGCCGGAGUUAACACGUUAAGUGCCCCGCCGGGGGAGUACGGUCGCAAGACUGAAACUUAAAU
rnacentral:rRNA from 1 species